UCGAGGAACACGUAGACCACCUGCCUUCCAGUGGGGGACAACCGCGGGAAACUGCGGCUAAUACCGCAUGGGGCACGGGAGAGCCUUCUCCCGCUGCUAAAGGAGCAAUUCGCUGGAAGAUGGGUCUGCGGCCUAUCAGCUAGUUGGCGGGGUAACGGCCCACCAAGGCGACGACGGGUAGCGGGUCUGAGAGGAUGAUCUGCCGGACGGGGACUGAGACACGGCCCCG
rnacentral:rRNA from 1 species